rnacentral:lncRNA from 1 species
AAACUUUCUUUUCUUGCUGAUAUAGGUCUGAAAAUAGCUGGCAGAUUACAGCCUGGAAAGUAUGGCUUUCAGAACAGUGGAAUCCAAAACAACAUUGCCAAUGUUGAGAAACUAUUUACAAAAAGCGAGGAGGCACACCUGCAACGUUCCAGGCUGAAGCAGGAAGGACGACCUCUAGAAAUACAAGAUGGGAAAGCUCUGAGAACAUUCCACAGAACACAAAGAAGGUUCUCUGAAGAAGCAGCAACUGUUUUUGAGGUAUCAGUCUA